UACGGAGGGUCCAAGCGUUAUCCGGAAUCAUUGGGUUUAAAGGGUCCGUAGGCGGUUUUGUAAGUCAGUGGUGAAAGCCCCAUCGCUCAACGGUGGAACGGCCAUUGAUACUGCAAGACUUGAAUUAUUAGGAAGUAACUAGAAUAUGUAGUGUAGCGGUGAAAAUGCUUUAGAGAUUACAUGGAAUACCAAUUGCGAAGGCAGGUUACUACUAAUGGAUUGACGCUGAUGGACGAAAAGCGUGGGGGGAGCGAACAGG
rnacentral:rRNA from 1 species